GGAGAGAUGGCUGAGCGGCUGAAAGCGUCCGAUUCGAAAUCGGAUUUCCUGUAAGGGAACGGGGGUUCAAAUCCCUCUCUCUCCG
rnacentral:tRNA from 1 species